rnacentral:rRNA from 1 species
UACGGGGGGGGUAAGCGUUGUUCGGAAUUACUGGGCGUAAAGGGCUCGUAGGCGGCCAACUAAGUCAGACGUGAAAUCCCUCAGCUUAACUGGGGAACUGCGUCUGAUACUGGAUGGCUUGGAUUCGGGAGAGGAAUGCGGAAUUCCAGAUGUAGCGGUGAAAUGCGUAGAUAUCUGGAGGAACACCGGUGGCGAAGGCGGCAUCCUGGACCAACACUGACACUGAGGAGCGAAAGCCAGGGGAGCAAACGGG